AUUGAACGCUGGCGGCAGGCCUAACACAUGCAAGUCGAACGAGUGGCGGACGGGUGAGUAAUGUCUGGGAAACUGCCCGAUGGAGGGGGAUAACUACUAGAAACGGUAGCUAAUACCGCAUAACGUCGGAUGUGCCCAGAUGGGCUUAGCUAGUAGGUGGGGUAACGGCUCACCUGGGCGACGAGCCCUAGCUGGUCUGAGAGGAUGACCAGCCACACUGGAACUGAGGCACGUCCCAGACUCCUACGGGAGGAAGCAGUGGGGAAGAUUGCACAAUGGGUGCAAGCCUGAUGCAGCCAUGCCGCGGGUAUGAAGAAGGCCUUCGGGUUGUAAAGUACCUUCAGCGUGGAGGCGUUACGCGCAGAAGAAGCACCGGCUAACUCCGUGCCAGCAGCCGCGGUAAUAC
rnacentral:rRNA from 1 species